rnacentral:rRNA from 1 species
AUUGAACGCUGGCGGUAUGCUUAACACAUGCAAGUCGAACGGAAACGACAGGGAGCUUGCUCCUUGGGCGUCGAGUGGCGGAUGGGUGAGUAAUACAUAGGAAUCUGCCUUUUAGUUUGGGAUAACUGUCCGAAAGGAUGGCUAAUACCGGAUAUUGACUACGGUUGAAAGGGGGCUCUUUGAGCUCUCGCUAAAAGAUGAGCCUAUGUGGGAUUAGCUUGUUGGUAGGGUAAAGGCCUACCAAGGCGACGAUCUCUAGCUGGUUUGAGAGGAUGACCAGCCACACUGGGACUGAGACACGGCCCAGACUCCUACGGGAGGCAGCAGUGGGGAAUCUUGGUCAAUGGACGAGAGUCUGAACCAGCCAAAUCGCGUGAAGGAUGACUGCCCUACGGGUUGUAAACUUUCUUUUGUACAGGAAUAAAAGUACUACGUNUAGUAUAUUGCUAUGUACUGUACGAAUAAGCAUCGGCUAACUCCGUGCCAGC